rnacentral:pre_miRNA from 1 species
AGCUUUCUGUAUCCGUGCUGAGAUUUCGUCACACACUAAACCACAAGGGCUGAUG